GCAUUUUAUCCACAUGUGAGGCAAAGUAAUCAAAUGCAAAGUUUGAGUUGUUUUCUUAUGUUUGCUGGUAGAAUUGACUUUUAAAUGAUGAUUUUGGAUGAUAAAUAUUUAAUAACAUUCAUUUGGAUUUGAUUUGGUUUGAUUUUGUUUGAUAUUUUACAUUUAAUAUUUGCUUCGGGUUGGUGUGGUGAAAAAUUUUGUGUUUCACUCGGGGGCAAAUUUUGUUUAACCCUCGUGCUUUGAAACCCUCGCAACGCUCAAGAUUCCAUUUUUCGAACCACUCGCUACGCUCGUGGUUCAAUUUUGUAAUCUUUCGCUUGCUCGGGUAUCAAUAUUAGCACGAGCGGUUAAACAAACUUUGCCUCCGAGUGAAACACAGAAUUUUUCACCACACCAAUGCAAGGAAAAUACUAACUAUG